ACAUAAAUGAAUGUCAGAGGUUUGUCCAAAAGAAUAAUUAACCUCUUGUCUAUAAUAGUUUUACAUCGUUUGCUUCUAACACCCCCAAACUGUAUGUUGUUUCUUCCUAUUUUCAUUUAACCCUCGCAAACACUGAAUAUAACAACAGACCACAGGAAAAAAAUUGCUUAAAAUUAAAGCGGGCGUGCCAGUUGACCUUGAAACUUAAAAAAAAAUACCGACUUGAAUUUUCCUCUAACCACUCUGUUUCGUUAAUGUUAGUUUGUGUUUAUCUGAUUUAAAGCAUAUUACUAUCGAAAAAAUAAAUGCCUAAAAAGAUCAGCUCUCAAGCAUUAAAGUAUCUCUCCCCCGUACAAUUAUAUAAUAACGAAGUUUACGAAGAAGGCCAUCUUUCCCAUACCUAUUCUCCGUUUAACCUAAAGGAUCGUUUUGAAUCUAGGGACUCUAUAAAUCGGAAAGUUUGCAAUAUAGAUUACUAUACCGCUCGAGAACCUAGUGAAUACUACCAUCGCACUAGUACAAUAAGCCGACGAGAGCAAGAGAGAAUUGUAUAUCGGAGUUAUUCUAUAAAAAAGAGGAAGGUAGAUUCCAGUAAUUACUUUACAAGGUCACCGAGAAUUAUUAAUAAAAAAAGCACUACGUCGAGAGAAGCUUCUAAUUCCCGUUCUCUGUAUGAUUGUCCUUCAAGUUUUAAACCUGUGUACAAGGAAAAAAUAUCGUAUAAAAAUCGUUAUGGACAAAAGGCUAUUCAUGACGCUUUUAGCGGCACCAAUAGGAGGGAUAGGCGUACUGUUGAAGAUUUAGAUAGAGACUUUUAUAACUGUAAAUUUAAUAAGGUAUCUAAUCAACGCGUUACUCUUGAUUAUACUAGCAAAAAAAAUAAGGAUAAUUUAUAUAACAAUAAUACUAAAAUCUCAUUUUCCGAACGUCAGUCAGAAAAGGGAAGAUAUUACGAAAAGAAUUUAAAAGACGUUAGACCAAGAACCUAUGUUAGUUCGGAUUUAGGCCCUUCUCACUCAAGGAACUAUGAUAAUAGGAAGCAAAAAAGCUUUUCGUCAUUGAAAUCAAGGAGAAAUGAAAAAGAAAAGUCCAGAGAAACAGACUGUUGCUAUAAGACUGAACGCAGCAAGUUAGAUGCCACUCGUCCCACGAGACAGGCUUCUUCGCGAAUUAGUGGGUAUUCAAAAGCUAACAGCGUUAAUAAAAGAAAAGACACACUAAAUAUUAACAGCAAGAAGAAAAGUCCUGAGAGUGGGCGUACUGUUGCUGUAGAUAAUCGUUCUGCUUGUUUGCAGCCUUCUACUGUAUGUGAUGAUGGUAUAAUGGUUGUAAAGCGGUUUUAUAAUGAAAAUAACAAGGAUUCUGAAGAAAUUAAUCAACAAAAAACUUUUAUAGCUAAAAACGAAGUGACUCUUCAGGAAAAUGACUCUUCAUACAGCAUUUUACAGAAGCCCGUCAAUCUUUGGAGAUGUAGAACUAUCGAUCAAUUUAACAUACUUUCUAAAGUAGGAGAGGGAAGUUAUGGGCAGGUGUACAAAGCGGAAGACAAAGUCGCUGGUGUUAUUGUUGCCCUGAAAAGAAUACGGCAGGACCGUAGCCAACAAGGGUUUCCUAUAACAGCCCUUCGAGAAAUAAAAAUUCUUCGGGGGUUAUCCCAUCUGAAUAUCGUCUGCUUAAAGAGUAUUGCUACCGGCAGCAAACAUGAUGGCAGCUUAAAUAAACGCGAAGGCGUCGAUUUUUUUUUGGUAUUUGAAUACAUCGAAAACGACUUAAGCGGGUUGUUGCACAGUGAAGAAAUAAAAUUUAAUGUACCUCAAAUUCGGUCUUUUAUGAGGCAACUACUUCAAGGCUUGGAAUACUGCCAUUCCAAAAACAUAUUACACAGAGACAUUAAAGGAUCGAAUAUACUAUUGAGUUCCAAAGGAGUAUUAAAAAUAGCUGAUUUUGGACUGGCCCGAUACUGGAACCAGAAUUCUGACCACACUCACCAAGUAAUUACCUUGUGGUACCGGCCUCCAGAGCUCUUGUUGCAGUCAAACCAGUAUGGCCCUGGGAUAGAUAUAUGGAGUGCCGGGUUUUUUUCUUUAACCUUUAUAAGUAGCCGUUGAUUAUUAUAAGGUUUCGUACCGCUUAAAAAGUUUGCAACUCAGUUUUCGUCUUUAUAUUUUUCAUGAGUAAUUAUGGUUUUAGUUAUAUAGCUUGUUACUUGUGAAGCAGUACGUUUUAUCGUUCACUGUCAUCAUAAAAAAGAGUUACCGCCGUCUGGUUGUUGCAUAGCGAUAAGAGUUAACGUGUCUUUACCGGCUGGCGGGGUUCUAAAUCCAAUCAGUUGUGCAUCUCCUGGAGCCAUGCGGGGGGCGAAUGGAGUGACAAAUAAUUGGCUAUAAUAGUUCCCACAAAGAGACUCUUUGUGAUACUCUUGCUUUAUACCAAAAUCACGUGCCCUUUAGGGUCUGCGCUGGCUUAAUAGCUCCGCCGGACUUUUGGCAAUUUUUAUAAUAUUAAAAUUCAAUAAACAACUAAGCAUCCCGCAUACUUCGUCGCUUUUGCAGAAGAGUUAGGGAAUUCGCGGUGUUAGUUAAGGGCAACCGUAUAAACUUUUUUUACCUGCGUUGCAAAACAUUUUGGUCGCUGCUCGUUGUAGGAAAGGGAAAGUGCAAUAGGCAAUAUAAGUGUGUGCUUGGAGAAAUGCUAACUGCCAAACCGCUUUUCAAAGGAAGAAACGAACUUCACCAGCUUGAGUUGAUAAGCAGAGUCUGUGGG